CGUCCCUGGUGGUCUUCUGGCACUGACCUUAGCAAGCCAGCUCAUGAGAUCAGGAUGCAGAGGAAAAUAAUCAUUGCACUACUACUGUCAGGUUAUAUUUUUACUGCAUCUCCUCAAAACAGCCCUAACACUGGAAGUCCAGCAACCACUCCUACUGGAGGUCCUGCAGCUCCA